rnacentral:rRNA from 1 species
UACGUAGGGUGCAAGCGUUAAUCGGAAUUACUGGGCGUAAAGCGUGCGCAGGCGGUUUUGUAAGUCUGUCGUGAAAUCCCCGGGCUCAACCUGGGAAUUGCGAUGGAGACUGCAAGGCUAGAAUCUGGCAGAGGGGGGGUAGAAUUCCACGUGUAGCAGUGAAAUGCGUAGAGAUGUGGAGGAACACCGAUGGCGAAGGCAGCCCCCCUGGGUCAAGACUGACGCUCAUGCACGAAAGCGUGGGGAGCAAACAGGG